rnacentral:rRNA from 1 species
AUCGAACGCUGGCGGCAUGCUUUACACAUGCAAGUCGAACGGUGACAGGGUGCUUGCAUCGUUGACGAGUGGCGAACGGGUGAGUAAUGCAUCGGAAUGUAUCGUGUAAUGGGGGAUAGCUCGGCGAAAGCCGGAUUAAUACCGCAUAUGCUCUGAGGGGGAAAGUGGGGGACCGAAAGGCCUCACGUUCUACGAGCAGCCGAUGUCUGAUUAGCUAGUUGGUGAGGUAAAGGCUCACCAAGGCGUCGAUCAGUAGCGGGUCUGAGAGGAUGAUCCGCCACACUGGGACUGAGACACGGCCCAGACUCCUACGGGAGGCAGCAGUGGGGAAUUUUGGACAAUGGGCGCAAGCCUGAUCCAGCCAUGCCGCGUGUCUGAAGAAGGCCUUCGGGUUGUAAAGGACUUUUGUCCGGGAGCAAAUCCUAGUGGUUAAUAACCGCUGGGUCUGAGAGUACCGGAAGAAUAAGCAUCGGCUAACUACGUGCCAGCCGCCGCGGUAAGAC